CGAACGGUGAAGGAGAGCUUGCUCUUUGGAUCAGUGGCGAACGGGUGAGUAACACGUGAGCAAUCUGCCCCUGACUCUGGGAUAACAGUUGGAAACAGCUGCUAAUACCGGAUAUGAGACAUGGCCGCAUGGUCAAUGUUUGGAAAGAAUUUCGGUCAGGGAUGAGCUCGCGGCCUAUCAGCUUGUUGGUGAGGUAAUGGCUCACCAAGGCGUCGACGGGUAGCCGGCCUGAGAGGGUGACCGGCCACACUGGGACUGAGACACGGCCCAGACUCCUACGGGAGGCAGCAGUGGGGAAUAUUGCACAAUGGGCGCAAGCCUGAUGCAGCAACGCCGCGUGAGGGACGAAGGCCUUCGGGUUGUAAACCUCUUUUAGCAAGGAAGAAGCGAAAGUGACGGUACUUGCAGAAAAAGCGCCGGCUAACUACGUGCCAGCAGCCGCGGUAAUACGUAGGGCGCAAGCGUUAUCCGGAAUUAUUGGGCGUAAAGAGCUCGUAGGCGGUUUGUCGCGUCUGCUGUGAAAUCUGGGGGCUCAACCCCCAGCCUGCAGUGGGUACGGGCAGACUAGAGUGCGGUAGGGGAGAUUGGAAUUCCUGGUGUAGCGGUGGAAUGCGCAGAUAUCAGGAGGAACACCAAUGGCGAAGGCAGAUCUCUGGGCCGUAACUGACGCUGAGGAGCGAAAGGGUGGGGAGCAAACAGGCUUAGAUACCCUGGUAGUCCACCCCGUAAACGUUGGGAACUAGUUGUGGGGUCCAUUCCACGGAUUCCGUGACGCAGCUAACGCAUUAAGUUCCCCGCCUGGGGAGUACGGCCGCAAGGCUAAAACUCAAAGGAAUUGACGGGGACCCGCACAAGCGGCGGAGCAUGCGGAUUAAUUCGAUGCAACGCGAAGAACCUUACCAAGACUUGACAUAUACGAGAACGGGCUAGAAAUAGUCAACUCUUUGGACACUCGUAAACAGGUGGUGCAUGGUUGUCGUCAGCUCGUGUCGUGAGAUGUUGGGUUAAGUCCCGCAACGAGCGCAACCCUCGUUCUAUGUUGCCAGCACGUUAUGGUGGGAACUCAU
rnacentral:rRNA from 1 species